CUCUCUCCCUGAUUCUUUUCCUUCUUCCUCUUCAGCUUCGUUUUCUCUCUCCUCUGUCGUCGCCGUCGCUUCUUCACCGCCGGAGAUCGAUCUCCUCCACCGCCGGUGAUCUCUACCCUCUUCCAUAUCAGACUAAUUCAGGUUUAAGUACUCUGUUAAUUUCGAUACAAUUUUAUCCUGGUAAAGCCAAUCCUCCUGAAAUUGCAUCUAUUGGAGGUGUUAGAGUAUUUUUAUGUUUUGGUGUGUUCAUCUCUUUUGGAUUAUGUCUAAGGUUUAUUUUGAUCAUAUGAAUUAGCUGUUUGGAAGUUACUUUUUCUAUAUUUGGAUUUCAAAAUCGCCAUGUGCUUCCCUUCAAGUGCGGCUCAUUUAAUAAAUUGGCAGCACUUGAGAGCACAAAAAAAAUGAAAAAAAUACAUUUUUACAGGUGCGGGCUCAUUUAAGAAAAUUGGCAGCACUUGAGUUCAAGUGCGGGCUCACUUAAAAAACGAGCCGCACAAAAUUUCACGGGUUCUUAUUUUCAAUUUAAUUUUCAUUUUCGCGCUCCUCUCCUUCCCCUUUCUCUACCUCAUCUAUCUUUCUCCAGCUCAAACGACUCUCACUCUUCACCUCAAACCCCCUCUCUCGUCCCUUUGCUGCUUCUCGGCCGGUAACCCGCCACCACCAUUUCUCUUGUCGGCGGCACAACUGCUUCUAUCUUUGUUGUUUUGCGCUGCCCAGUUGUUGGUUCUCUGCUCUCUCUCGCCGGCUCCAUCUUUCUCUCGUUACUACCUUGUAUCUCCACCACCAACGGUGGCCGAAGGUGGUAGCUGAGGUUUGUCAUCCGUGCUACACUGUCGAUCGGUUCUCUAAAACCUUACAAUUUCUGGUCUCCAAGAAGGGGGUGAUAUCAUUGGAUCCGUGGAGAGUAUUAGAGUAGUAGUUCUGGUGCAUCUAAUGUGGGACACCAGCCUGUCCAGAAAUUUUACAUGAUUGUAGUUGUUGUAGAUUCAUCAAAUCCAAGCUCUGGCACACUUUAUUUUUGGACAGGAAGAACAUACACACUGCCGGUUCAAAGUAUUCAAACAAAUUAGUUCACCUGGUAUUCAACAAUCCGAGGGAGCAGCCUUUUACCAUUGAGUAGAUAAAUGAAGUUCGAGAAAAGUUGGCAAAUUUCAUUACCAUUUAUCGUCUUUGAUAUUUUCUUGUAGUGAAUCUUAGAUUAUGGAUGCUAGUUUUUCAUAGGAUUGUAAUGUAAUCAAUUUUUAU